AUAGUUCUUUCUUGAUUUCAUUUUAGAUAUCUGGAUCGGGAUUGGUCACAGGAUGUGUAUUUGUAGCAGUUGCAUUCUAUCUUAAGAUUCGACAAAUAUUUGACUUUGUUUCCUGAAUUAAGAACGGUGGAGGGCAGGAUGCCGAGAAUCUAAGAGUCAAGCCAAACGAUGCUUCAAGUAUUCCUAAUACACCUUUGGAUGCAAGAGGAUCAUCUGGUGCUAGCAACCCUUAGUUUGCAUAUAAUGUAUUUUGGAUUUAAAGUUUAGUAUGAGGCUAAUUUGACAAUGUUAUGAAUUUUAUGUUGUACUUGAAAUUAUA